rnacentral:tRNA from 1 species
GCGCGAGUGCUGGAACUGGCAGACAGGCACGUUUGAGGUGCGUGUGCCUAUGGCGUACGGGUUCAAGUCCCGUCUCGCGCACCA